UCCCAGGCCAGCAGCACGUCGCCGACUCCGCGCUCAACGAACGUUACGGUCGAUCCGCGCGCGCCGGUAUCGAGCACCGGCACAUUCUUGAAGAUGUCGCCGACGAACUUCUUCGCUUUGUCUUCGCCGCCGAAUUUCUUCAGCGCGUAACCCCACGCUGCAAGAUAAUUCCAGCGCGCGCCGCCGGAGGUCUUCGGGUUGGGCGUGAUGACCUGCACACCGCUCUUGAUCAGAUCGUCCCAGUCCUUGAUGCCCUUGGGAUUGCC
rnacentral:misc_RNA from 1 species